UCACUGCAACAGAGAAACAGGAAGUCUCAGAAGGUUCAGGGUCUGUUUUUUAACCAAUCAAAGCACUGCUGUUUGGUGGGGCACAUGAAGUCCUGGACUGACAGCACAGGUCGCCUCGCACAGGUGUGUGUAUUAAUGAUGGUAGCAUAAAGCCGUCAUUAGUUUAUCAAUGUACAGCUGGGCUCAGACACACAGGUGGGAGAUCAUGUGACCAGACUGAGCACACUCAUGUCAGGACUGCUGUCCAAUCAGAAUGCAUAACACUGAUUACAUGGCAAAUGCGAGCGGUGUUGGACCGCCUCCUUCCCUCUGCAGCGACACACAGACUCCUGCAGUCAGAGCAACAUCAGAGAGGCGGGGCAUGAAACCUGCCAGUGGCUAACGCCCCCCCCUCAAAAAAAAUAAAAAAAAUAAAAUAAAAUAAACACGAGGGCGGGAUUAAAACGAGGAAAAUCAAGACUCUCUCUCCUGCUUGGCUUUGGCACUCUGACAUCUCUCCUACAUCCUGUUUCCACGGUCACCGUGUCGCAGCCGUCUCCAUUGACGACAGGAUGUCAAGAUGUGCUGCUGCCGACACCACAUCCUCUCACUCACACACAAACACACACACACACACACACACACACACAGGUUUCCUCUGCUUUGUGAUUCAGCCUGCCUGUCAAACAGAUGGUGUGUGUGUGUGUGUGUGUGUGUGUGUGUGUGUGUGUGUGUGUUACUGCUGGCAAAGCAGUGAUGACUCAUGCCCCACACACACACACACACACACACACACACACAGAGAGCUGGAUUUCGGUCCCUCACUGACUGAUUCUCCAUUUUCAGACACUUUCCCCGUUUAAAGGGACGGCGCCGUCUGCGCCUCCGUCCCUUUAAACAGAAUCGGUCAGUCUGACUGCAGGAAGCAGCCACAUCCUCGCUGAGCUUCCUCCGCUUUCAUACGUUACCUACGUGAGAGAUGCAUCGGGGCAAACAGGGAUGCAAACUUUGACAUGCAGGCUGGAGCAGCUGGGAGUCAAACCCACGACCUUCUGAUUGGUAGAUGACCCGCUGCACCUCCUGUACCAUCCCAGCUGUGCCCAAAGACAGUUCUGGUUCUCACCAACUGCACUGUGCUGCAGCAGAACCUGAUUGGCCGCCUCGGUUAACUCAGAGAUACCCACAUUCUGCACAGGAAGUGAGGACAUUAACCUGCAGCUGCAGUCACUGCUAACAUCAACCACCGUGCAAGAUGGGGUGAGGAUGAUCAUGAGCAAGGUGGUGGGAGGAGCUUGUUAAUGAAGACAGUGGGGACCACCGUCACCAAGACCACUGAUCUGUCGUAUUUGGAGAAA